CAGAAGUCUAUGCACGACACGGAAACAAACUGGAAACAAGUUCCACAAAAAUGUCACCAAAGGUGUUGAAUUUGCCACCGAUUUUUGCGCCUAUAUAUACCCCCAUAUAUCCUCUGUAUAUUGACCCUAAAAUCCCCAAUUUUUGCGCCGCCAGGCUGCGCGAAUUUCUCGUCGGAGUUCGACGCCGCCGCCGCCAUUGGAGCUCAUAACCGGAGGGCACUAGGACGCGGAGAAAGCAUCGCCGGAGUUCAUCGCUGCCCGAGCCGCUCCAGCCGCCCGUCACCGCUGUUCGAGGAAGACGCAAAUACCUCCGAGCACGCCACCUUGACAGCCACGUCCAGCCGCACCUCGUUCACCAACUCGCCGCAGUCGUAAACCAUCCGAAGACUCCAAGAAGCAUCGCGUCCGAGCCGUCCUACCACCACCUCGGGUCGUCUGUGCCAUUAUCGUGCGGAGUGUAACACGAAGAGCGCGAACGCCAACGACAAAUAAGGCAAGUUGAACUUUUGAUCAUAACAGAUCUAUUGUUUUCCUAUAUGUGCAGUAGGAUUUUAGUACAAGUACAUGUGUAGUGUAGGAUUGUUAUUGAUGGAUUGUGUGCUAUUGCUAUGAAACCCGCGCAGGAUAGCCAUAUGUUUAUUAUGAUUGAAUUCAUUGCUCGUCAACCUAUGUUUGAUUGCUUGGAUACGCUUACUUUAUAAGUGGGUGGAAUAUCAUGUCAUGGGUAUGUAUUAGUUGAAAGGUUAGUUUUGAGUUGACAAAACAAUUAUUGGAUGAAUUGGGGCGGAUAUGAAUAGUACUUGAGAAGGUUGUAGGUUGACCGACAUGGUAAGGGCUUUGAGCCAGACUUACUGACAUGUAUAGGUCGAGUGGCAUGGUAAGGGCAGAAAGCCUGACUUACUGACAUGUACACUAGUUGAUGGGAGGGUGGCAUGGUAAGGGCAGAAAGCCUGACUUACUGACAUGUACACUAGUUGAUGGGAGGGUGGCAUGGUAAGGGCGUUGAGCCUGACUUACUGACAUGUUCACUGGUGGUGAGUGGCAUGGUAAGGGUGUUGAGCCAGACUUACUGACAUGUACACUGGUGAUGGGUGACAUGGUAAGGGUGUAGAGCCUGACUUACUGACAUGUACACUAAUGGAGUGGAGAUUAGCAUGGUAAGGGUAUUGAACCUGACUUACUAGCAUGUGUAAUGGAAGAAAGGAGAUUAACAUGGUAGGGGGCCUGAGCUUGACCUACUCGCAUGUGCACUAUAGGAGUUCGGAGAUUAAAAUCGCUGGGAUAGAACUAGGACGAUACUAUGAUUGCUUUGUGCAAAAUAAAAGUUGAACCCUCACCUUGAAAAUGUACUUGAUAGAUUGUUAUAAGUCUCUAGUGAUACUCGCCAAUAUAUUCAA